rnacentral:pre_miRNA from 1 species
AAAAUACUCCCUCUGUCCGGAAAUACUUGUCAUCAAAAUAAAUAAAAUGGAUGUAUCUAGACGUAUUUUAGUUCUAGAUACAUCUCUUUUCAUCCAUUUUGAUGACAAGUAUUUUCAGACGGAGGGAGUAACUU